ACUCAGGCUGAGGGAUAGGAUCACAUGGAUACAGAAAGGGCUAUGAGCAGGGCAGGCAAUGAUCAAUAUCUCAGUAUAGUCUUCUAUUUUUCUCUCAUUUCUUUUUUCAAAUAGCUACUGAAUACCCACCACGUACCCAUUACUAUUCUAGCCUCAGUCUCUACUUUCAAGAAGCUAAUCAUCCAGGAGAGGAAAGGAAGAUGGGGAUUCCAGAGAGACUUCUCAGAUCUCUCUGGUAGCAGUGUUGGCAGUGGAUUGGACGGGUACUACUGAAGUCUAAGAAAUGAAUUAGAAGAUCACUCUAGGCUUCAAGGCAUCAAGCAAAGACAUCGAAUGACAACAUCUACUGAAAAAGAUACUUGUGGCCACUUUAGGAAAGAUUAAUGGUUACACACACACACACACACACACACACAACAGAGUGAUGAGUGUAAUGAAAAAUGUUAAAUCCUCACAUUGUAGUGAUAAGUAAAUUUUGCUCUGUCACAGUACAAAUAAUGGAAUAAAACAAAUUUGCCCUUGUCUGUGUGCUAACAGAGUUUCAUAUUCAUACACCAUAUACACGAUGAUUAGUGACACUUUACACUCUCAAGAAUCUUAGAGUGUAGAAAACAAGUGGAAUAAAAGAGUAUUAUCUAAU
rnacentral:lncRNA from 10 species